UACGUAGGGUGCGAGCGUUGUCCGGAAUUACUGGGCGUAAAGAGCUCGUAGGUGGUUUGUCGCGUUGUUCGUGAAAACUCACAGCUUAACUGUGGGCGUGCGGGCGAUACGGGCAGACUAGAGUACUGCAGGGGAGACUGGAAUUCCUGGUGUAGCGGUGGAAUGCGCAGAUAUCAGGAGGAACACCGGUGGCGAAGGCGGCUCUGGGCCU
rnacentral:rRNA from 1 species